UUUGAUAUACUCUUAUAUGUAGAAAAGUGAUAGACGGUGGCUUUCAAUUAUUAGAGAGGAGUGAUGCCUAUGGGCAAACAUUCAAAAUCUAGUAGAGAGGAGAGCCGUUUUGACAGCGUUCGAGAUUGUGCAAACCAUUCUAGGCUUUGGUAGUUUUACUAUCGCUCUAAU
rnacentral:sRNA from 1 species